rnacentral:rRNA from 1 species
AACGAACGCUGGCGGCAUGCCUAACACAUGCAAGUCGAACGAGACCUUCGGGUCUAGUGGCGCACGGGUGCGUAACGCGUGGGAACCUGCCCGUAGGUUCGGAAUAACUCACCGAGAGGGGUGCUAAUACAGGAUAAUGUCUUCGGACCUAAGAUGUUUCGCGUUUGGGUGGGCCCGCGUUGGAUUAGCUAGUUGGUAGGGUAAAAGCCUGCCAAGGCGAGGAUCCAUAGCUGGUCUGGGAGGAGGAUCAGCCACACUGGGACUGAGACACGGACCAGACCCGUACGGGAGGGAGCAGAGGGGAAUAUUGGAGAAGGGGCGAAAGUCUGAUCCAGCAGUGCCGCGUGAGAGAUGAAGGCCUUAGGGUUGUAAAGCUCUUUGACCCGGGAUGAUAAUGACAGUACCGGGAGAAUAAGCUCCGGCUAACUACGUG